rnacentral:tRNA from 1 species
GCCGAAGUGGCGGAACUGGCAGACGCACUAGAUUCAGGGUCUAGCGGGGGUGACCCCGUCCGGGUUCAAAUCCCGGCUUCGGCACCA